CCUACGGGAGGCAGCAGUGAGGAAUAUUGCUCAAUGGGCGAAAGCCUGAACCAGCCACGUCGCGUGAAGGAAGACGGGCCUAUGGUUUGUAAACUUCUUUUAUCGGGGAGUAAAAAAAGCCAAGCGUGGAGUUCCGAGAGUACCCGAAGAAAAAGCAUGGGCUAACUCCGUGCCAGGAGCCGCGGUAAUACUGAGGAUGCGAGCGUUAUCCGGAUUUAAUUGGUGUAAAGGGGGCGUAGGUGGGAAGUUAAGUUAGAGGGGAAAUUGAAGGGUCUAAACACUUGAGUGCCGUUGAAACUGGUAUGCUUGAGUGAGGGAGAGGUAUGCGGAAUGCGUGGUGUAGCGGUGAAAUGCAUAGAUAUCACGCAGAACUCCGAUUGCGAAGGCAGCAUAC
rnacentral:rRNA from 1 species